GUAAGUCGUCCAUGUGUGGAGCAAUAGACUUUUUGGCUACAUGUGUGAUGCUUAC
rnacentral:miRNA from 1 species